AUUGAACGCUGGCGGCAGGCCUAACACAUGCAAGUCGAGCGGUAGCACAGAGAGCUUGCUCUCGGGUGACGAGCGGCGGACGGGUGAGUAAUGUCUGGGAAACUGCCUGAUGGAGGGGGAUAACUACUGGAAACGGUAGCUAAUACCGCAUAACGUCGCAAGACCAAAGUGGGGGACCUUCGGGCCUCAUGCCAUCAGAUGUGCCCAGAUGGGAUUAGCUAGUAGGUGGGGUAACGGCUCACCUAGGCGACGAUCCCUAGCUGGUCUGAGAGGAUGACCAGCCACACUGGAACUGAGACACGGUCCAGACUCCUACGGGAGGCAGCAGUGGGGAAUAUUGCACAAUGGGCGCAAGCCUGAUGCAGCCAUGCCGCGUGUGUGAAGAAGGCCUUCGGGUUGUAAAGCACUUUCAGCGGGGAGGAAGGCGAUAAGGUUAAUAACCUCAUCGAUUGACGUUACCCGCAGAAGAAGCACCGGCUAACUCCGUGCCAGCAGCCGCGGUAAUACGGAGGGUGCAAGCGUUAAUCGGAAUUACUGGGCGUAAAGCGCACGCAGGCGGUCUGUCAAGUCGGAUGUGAAAUCCCCGGGCUCAACCUGGGAACUGCAUUCGAAACUGGCAGGCUAGAGUCUUGUAGAGGGGGGUAGAAUUCCAGGUGUAGCGGUGAAAUGCGUAGAGAUCUGGAGGAAUACCGGUGGCGAAGGCGGCCCCCUGGACAAAGACUGACGCUCAGGUGCGAAAGCGUGGGGAGCAAACAGGAUUAGAUACCCUGGUAGUCCACGCCGUAAACGAUGUCGAUUUGGAGGUUGUGCCCUUGAGGCGUGGCUUCCGGAGCUAACGCGUUAAAUCGACCGCCUGGGGAGUACGGCCGCAAGGUUAAAACUCAAAUGAAUUGACGGGGGCCCGCACAAGCGGUGGAGCAUGUGGUUUAAUUCGAUGCAACGCGAAGAACCUUACCUGGUCUUGACAUCCACAGAACUUUCCAGAGAUGGAUUGGUGCCUUCGGGAACUGUGAGACAGGUGCUGCAUGGCUGUCGUCAGCUCGUGUUGUGAAAUGUUGGGUUAAGUCCCGCAACGAGCGCAACCCUUAUCCUUUGUUGCCAGCGGUUCGGCCGGGAACUCAAAGGAGACUGCCAGUGAUAAACUGGAGGAAGGUGGGGAUGACGUCAAGUCAUCAUGGCCCUUACGACCAGGGCUACACACGUGCUACAAUGGCAUAUACAAAGAGAAGCGACCUCGCGAGAGCAAGCGGACCUCAUAAAGUAUGUCGUAGUCCGGAUUGGAGUCUGCAACUCGACUCCAUGAAGUCGGAAUCGCUAGUAAUCGUAGAUCAGAAUGCUACGGUGAAUACGUUCCCGGGCCUUGUACACACCGCCCGUCACACCAUGGGAGUGGGUUGCAAAAGAAGUAGGUAGCUUAACCUUCGGGAGGGCGCUUACCACUUUGUGAUUCAUGACUGGGGUGA
rnacentral:rRNA from 1 species